rnacentral:rRNA from 1 species
GACGAACGCUGGCGGCGUGCUUAACACAUGCAAGUCGAGCGGAGCGGCGAACGGGUGAGUAACGCGUGAGUAACUGCCCCCCUCUCUGGGAUAAAAGUUGGAAACGGCUGAUAAUAACGGAUAGUGGGGGAUGACUCGCGUCCUAUCGGAUUGUUGGUGGGGUAGUGGCCUACCAAGGCGACGACGGGUAGCCGGCCUGAGAGGGCGAACGGCCCCAGUGGGCUGCGAUACGGCGCAGACGCCUACGGGAGGCAGCAGGGGGGAAUAUUGCACAAUGGGGGAAACCCUGAUGCAGCAACGCGCGGGCGUGAUGACGGUUUUCGGGUUGUAAACCGCGUUCAGCUAUGACGCGGUAGUGGCAGAAGAAGCACCGGCUAACUACGUGCCAGCAGCCGCGGUAAUUC